rnacentral:siRNA from 1 species
ACAAGUUGCGCACACUGGCAGGGC